UGCCCAGCAACUCCUAUCCCUACUUCCACGCGGUACCGGCCGGAAACUAUGAGCAACCUUAGGGAAGAUCGGGUAACCAACCCCGGUGGGAACUUUGGUCGUAGGCUGACAGGGAAGG
rfam:Aedes albopictus isolate Foshan contig54265, whole genome shotgun sequence.